rnacentral:rRNA from 1 species
CCUACGGGUGGCAGCAGUAGGGAAUUUUCGUCAAUGGGCGCAAGCCUGAACGAGCAAUGCCGCGUGAACGAGGAAGGUCUUCGGAUCGUAAAGUUCUGUUGAAGGGGAAAAAGAGCGGAGAGAGGAAAUGGUCUCCGAUUGAUAUUACCCUUCGAGGAAGUCACGGCUAACUACGUGCCAGCAGCCGCGGUAAUACGGAGGUGGCGAGCGUUAUCCGGAAUGAUUGGGCGUAAAGGGUGCGUAGGCGGCCUGCUAAGUCUGGAGUGAAAGGUACCGGCUCAACCGGUACAGGAUCUGGAAACUGGCGGGCUAGAGAGCAGGAGAGGGCGGUGGAACUCCAUGUGUAGCGGUAAAAUGCGUAGAUAUAUGGAAGAACACCAGUGGCGAAGGCGGCCGCCUGGCCUGUGACUGACGCUGAGGCACGAAAGCGUGGGGAGCAAAUAGGAUUAGAUACCCGGGUAGUC